UACGGAGGGUGCGAGCGUUGUCCGGAAUCACUGGGCGUAAAGGGCGCGUAGGUGGCGCGAGGAGUCUGUGGUGAAAGCCCGAGGCUCAACUUCGGGUCGGCCGCGGAUACUCUCGUGCUGGAGGGUGGUAGAGGCCAAUGGAAUUCCGGGUGUAGCGGUGGAAUGCGUAGAGAUCCGGAAGAACACCGGUGGCGAAGGCGGUUGGCUGGGCCACACCUGACACUGAGGCGCGACAGCGUGGGAGCAAACAGG
rnacentral:rRNA from 1 species